rnacentral:rRNA from 1 species
UACGGGGGGGGUAAGCGUUGCUCGGAAUCACUGGGCGUAAAGGGUGCGUAGGCGGGUCUUUAAGUCAGGGGUGAAAUCCUGGAGCUCAACUCCAGAACUGCCUUUGAUACUGAAGAUCUUGAGUUCGGGAGAGGUGAGUGGAACUGCGAGUGUAGAGGUGAAAUUCGUAGAUAUUCGCAAGAACACCAGUGGCGAAGGCGGCUCACUGGCCCGAUACUGACGCUGAGGCACGAAAGCGUGGGGAGCAAACAGG